rnacentral:RNase_P_RNA from 1 species
GGAGCCGGCCGGGCGGCCGCGGGCGGAUCGCGAGGUCCGUUCGAGGAAAGUCCGGACUCCGCAGGGCAGGGUGCUGGCGAGAGCCAGGCGGGGGCGACCUCGCGGACAGCGCAACAGAGAGCAGACCGCCGUCGCGGCGUGCCGCGGCGGUAAGGGUGAAACGGUGAGGUAAGAGCUCACCAGCGCGCCGGGCGACCGGCGCGGCUCGGCAAGCCCCACCCGGAGCAAGGCCAAGCAGGCAGCGUUCGAGGGCGGCCCGCCCGAGUUGCCGGGUAGGCCGCACCGGGCCGGCGAACGGCCCGGCGACGGGCGUUUCGGCGCCCGUCGAGAGAGAUGGUCGCCGGCGGUCUUGGGACCGCGCACAGGAUCCGGCUUACAGGCUGGCUCCUCCG